UCCGUGCCAGCAGNCGCGNUAAUNCGGAGGGUGCANGCNUUANNNGNAAUUACUGGGCGUAAAGCGCACGCNGGCGGUCAAUUAANUNAGAUGUGAAAGCCCCGAGCUNAACUUGGNAAUUGCAUNUGAAACUGNNNGGNNAGANUNNNUAGAGGGGGGUAGANUUCCACGUGNAGCGGUGAANUGCGUAGAGAUGUGGAGGAAUACCGGUGGCGAAGGCGGCCCCCUGGACAAAGACUGACGNUCAGGUGCGAAAGCGUGGGGAGCAAACAGGAUUAGAUACCNUGGUANUCCACGCUGUAAACGAUGUCGAUUUAGAGGUUGUGGUCUUGAACCGUGGCUUCNGGAGCUAACGCGUUAAAUCGACCGCCUGGGGAGUACGGCCGCAAGGUUAAAACUCAAAUGAAUUGACGGGGGCCCGCACAAGCGGUGGAGCAUGUGGUUUAAUUCGAUGCAACGCGAAGAACCUUACCUACUCUUGACAUCCAGCGAAUCCUUUAGAGAUAGAGGAGUGCCUUCGGGAACGCUGAGACAGGUGCUGCAUGGCUGUCGUCAGCUCGUGUUGUGAAAUGUUGGGUUAAGUCCCGCAACGAGCGCAACCCUUAUCCUUUGUUGCCAGCGCGUGAUGGCGGGAACUCAAAGGAGACUGCCGGUGAUAAACCGGAGGAAGGUGGGGAUGACGUCAAGUCAUCAUGGCCCUUACGAGUAGGGCUACACACGUGCUACAAUGGCAGAUACAAAGAGAAGCGACCUCGCGAGAGCAAGCGGAACUCAUAAAGUCUGUCGUAGUCCGGAUUGGAGUCUGCAACUCGACUCCAUGAAGUCGGAAUCGCUAGUAAUCGUAGAUCAGAAUGCUACGGUGAAUACGUUCCCGGGCCUUGUACACACCGCCCGUCACACCAUGGGAGUGGGUUGCAAAAGAAGUAGGUAGCUUA
rnacentral:rRNA from 1 species